rnacentral:lncRNA from 1 species
UAUAUAGUGGGCAUUAAAAACAGUCUUUAGACAAAUUUCUAAAUGUGGAGGGGAGGUGGGGCUUUUCUAUAAGUUAGAUUUCUUUCCCUUAAGUAGCAAACUGAUACUAACAGGUUGGUUUAUUUUACCUGAUCUGCAGUUUGGGGGUAACUUGUCAAAUAAAUGACUCUUAAAACAUUUCUUAUUUCUAACGUCAACCACAUUGAAACUGGUGAAGUGGUUAUAUUAUCCAGCAUUAGAAUUAUGAUACGAUUUUUAUAGACCUGGAAAACAAAUAGCAAAUGAUCCAAAAGUCAGUGAUAACUGACUUUGAAAUGGAGUGUGGAAGGUUUGCUACCCCGAUCUUUUCCCUCCCAUACUUUUAAGUUGAUCCAGCCCUAGCAUCAGUGAAGAAACAGUUUAAAUGGCUAGGUAGAAUCAGAGAUAAAGACUGAUUAACAUAGUAUUUCUGUUAAUUAAAAAUUCAGCUAAGUAAUAAUUAUGAAUGUGAAUUAAUUAGAAGACAGUAAAAUUAAUUAUUCACUGAUUAUAGAAUGUUAAUUUUAAUCCUGUAUGGUCAUUCCAGCUUCCUAGUGAAUAGAUCAAGAUUAUUUGUAUUGACAUCAGCUUCUUAUAAAGGUAUGAAUUCUCUUAGACAAGCAAAAUAAUACUUCCAUUGUAUUUUUACACGGUGAAUUUGCUUGGUAAGCCAUUUUUAAUCUGUAAGAGAUUAAAAGAUGAACUUUAUCCCAUCCUCUGAGCUUUAAAUUCUAAAUUAUCGGGGUUCAAUGUAUAUGACAUUUUGUCAUACUAUAUUCUUCCACUCAGAAGGGGUAGAUGAAAAUGUUUCAAGUAAUUAUAACUAGAAAAAUGUUAUUUUUAUAUUAUGUGAAAUUUUACAAUGUAAAGUGAUUCAGCAUGUGAUUUCAUAUAGACAACAGCCAUAUCAUUUUUUUUCUGCAUUUGUGCCAGUUACAGUGGUUUUGGGGUUUUUUUUUUAAUAAUUACUAUUCUGAGCUACUUCCUUUACCCCCACAUCAAGUAUUAAGUGAAGGUUGUUAUUCUGAUUAUAGGAAUUUGUUGCUACUAAAAAAAGUAAAUAUAUUUCAGGCAGUCAUAUAUUUUUGUUGCAGGUAUAUGCCCCUCUCUUAAGGAUAUUUAUUGUGGUUAUAACUUUGUUUUAUUCAUUGUUUCAAUAUUGUCCUAGGUUGACAGGCAUAAUUCUUUUAGACCAAUAUUUUUAAGGCAGCUUUGAGUAGAAAUCAUCCUUUAUCAUCUUUUUUUCAUUUUGAAAGCUCAUAGGAAUGUGACACAUAGAACUUAUUUUCCACUUUUAACUGGCUCCAUAAAUCAGGGUACCCGGCAUCAAUACUGAAUUACCACAGUGAAGUACUUGGUGACUUGUUCAAGUUUACAGUUCACCUGUUAGAACUGUUGUGUAUAGUCUUAUGUGCAUAGAAAACAGAUGGGAGUAUUGGUCAUUAAAUGUUUCUUGUUUUGGUUUCUUUUUUUUUUUUUUUCUUUCUUUCUUUCUUUCUUUUUUUUUUUUUUUUUUUUUUGCCAUGCCCAUUGGCAUGUGAAAGUUCCCAGGGCAGGGAUCAAACCUGCUAGGCCAGCAGGGAACUCCUGGUUUUAUUAUUUCUGAAGACUGACUGUAUGCGCACCUAUAGUUUUAAGAGAUUGUGCCAGAGAGUAGAGAGGGAGAUUACUCUGGCAUUUAAUGCCUAAAACUUUCCAUCUUUAUUUACUUCUUGGCUUUAGUUGGACAAAUAAAAUCCCUUAAUUUGGCCCUUUAUUUUCAGAACCAAAGCAGGAAAGACUCUUUCUACAGAAAUGUUACAGGUGUGACACGAAGUCUGUGUGAAGAAAUGGACUAGUGAGAUUGCAAGAGUAUGUAGUGAGGGGGGGAAUUGAGAAAAAGAAAGGGUUUGGUUUUUUUUUGGUUUUUUUCUAGAAUCUUUGGACAGAAACCUUACAGUUGUUUAAUAUUAGUCGAGUUCUCAUAGUCACAUUGUAAAAGAGGAACUGUUGGUAUCUGAACCUAGAGAAGAAACAGAAGAGUGCCUCUAUAACCUAAAUUUAUUUUAUUUGUCCCAGACCUAAAGCUGCAUCUAUUUUUGUUAAAUUAGAGACAUUGCUUUCGAACUAUAAUAAAUUAAAUGAAAUACUGCUCUAUGUGAAGAGCGAUGCUCCUUAAAUAGAGCUAUGCACAGCAAAUAAUAAAUCUUUUUGAAAAAAAAUAAUAAAUAAAUAGAGCCAUGGCAUUGCUAUCAACAUGGCUUCUCCAGCUUUUCCCUUUAUAUAGAAAACACCAAACAGAGCCCUUCCAGACAAGGUAAUCUUCCCCAUAAAGAAAAUAUUUUGGGGAGGAAGUGGGAGGGAUCGGGAGCUUGGGCUUAUCAGACACAACUUAGAAUAGAUUUACAGGAGAUCCUGCUGAAUAGCAUUGAGAACUUUGUCUAGAUACUCAUGUUGCAACAGAACAAAGGGUGGGGGAAAAAAUGUAAUUGUAAUGUAUACAUGUAAGGAUAACUUGAUCCCCUUGCUGUACAGUGGGAAAAUUUUUAAAAAAAUAAAAUAUUUUGGGGUAAAAGAUUUGGGAAAAACACUGGUAGAUUGUAAUGGAGGGAGAAUUUUGCCUAAAAUAGUCCAACCAGAUGAAUGGAUACAGUUUGAUCCUAGGGAGUUAAAUAAGAGGAAGCUGUGGUUUGGGUAGCAGCAGACUUGAAUCUCUGGUGGUAAUUAGCUGGAAAUAUCUCCCUGUCUCACAAAAAGGGAAUGAUCUCUCAUAAUAUUAAUGGUGAUCCUGCAAGUGUGCAUGUGCUCUUUCAAAAGUCAGGAAUAGCAAGCCCUGACCAAAAUCUUCUAAUACUUUAUCCCUAUAAGAGUCUUAAAUCUUUUCUAGGAGCUUUCUCAUUUCUUAGACCAGAGUACACCCCUUUCUCCUCUUUAAAAAAAAGAAAAAGGAUUUAGAGGCAAUUUAUAUAGAAUUCCACCGUGAGUAAAUAAGAGAGUCUUUAAAAUACUUGGGGGAAUCAGUACCACAUGCCACAAGUUAAUAGCUUGAUUGAGAGACUCUUAGAGUACUUUUUUCAUGUUUGGGUUCUAAAUUUUUUCCUUGACAUACCAUUCUUUGAUUUACUUGCGUGCCAGUCAUUUUGUUUUGGGAUGUAAUCAGUGAUUUAUGCCAUUUAUGAAUUGGGUUCUUCUCUCCAUCCCAUACCCACACACUAUUAAAAAUAAAAGGGGAGGAAUAAAACAAAAGGAGAGAUAAUGAGAAGCAUUAGAAUGUAACUUUGGCUAAUAAAGAAGGAAAGAAAUUCUAACUUGGUUAAAUGAGAAUUCAGAUUGAAAGUGUUUGUACUAAAGGUAUUCUCUCUAGCCAUAGAAUUUUUUGCUAGAUAUAGGGUGCUAAUGUGAACAGAAUGUAUAUCUGAAUAUAUCUGAAAUAUGAUGGAUGUUAUAGCAAAGUGAUAAAAUUAUCUUGAAAAUAAUACUUCAAUCAUGUGCAACAGAUGUCCAUAUUCUUUUUUUUUUUGAGAUGCCCAUAUUCUUAAGGAAAAUUAAUAUAGCUUGUGGUUUUAAUGAUUUAAACUUUAGAAGGUUUGUAACUUUUAUUCUGACAUGUCUUCUUAAACAUAUAAAAAUUAUAUUGAAUGAAUACUUAAGAAUAUUCUUUCCUCUAAUUUACAUAUUGACUUCUUUUUCAUACCUCAGUUCUGUAGAUCUCUCACACGUAUGCCUCUUGGUGUGUGCAGAACUCUCCAUAAACAAAUUUUUUUAACUCAAUCCAUUUCCUCAUCAAACCUGAGCUGUAAAGGAGAAGGCAAAGAUAGGUUUUAAAUGCAGGAACCAGUAGAAGAUCACAACAGGAAAAAAGACUGUUGAGAACUUGUUGCCUUUGAAAGUAGAAAGGGCUCUAAAAACUUGAGCUGAGAUUUGAAGUUUAGUCAGAGUUCUACUACUCAUUUGCUCUGUGUCCUUAAGGCAGUUUCCUUAAUCUCUUCGUGCCUAGGUUCUCCUGGUAAAAUGAUAGUGAUAGUACCUGCCCUCACCUACCUCACAAAAUAGUUGUAAGAAGAGGAUAAUGUUAGUAGAGUGCUUGUCCCGGAAAGAAAAGCUAUUCAGAAGAUUGAGAUAAGAGAAUGUUGUUGUAUGAGGGUCCAUUUCCAGUUUGCCUCUGUGAAAGUAAUGACCGUUGACCAGGUCACUAUUAAACAGGUGUAAGAGAAACUUAGGUUUUACCAUGGUAUGGUGUUCACUUAUACGUGUAUCCUGUUCUGUUUCUCCCUAACAGAUAUCUAGCACACAGGCUGAAUUUUUCUUUAUAGUAAUCUUUGGGGAAGGUAUAACUUCAAAAACCAAACUCCUUUUAGUGGUGCUAUGGCACUUGUGAUUGUAUUUUGAGUUAGAUUAAUAUGGGGAAACCAUCAGAUAAUCAGAAAUUAACUUUGCCUUUUGCCUUCAGGCAUUUUUGCUACAUAUUGGCAUCAGAGGUUGUUGUACAACCAGAUAAUUAUCCCUUUGUUUCUUGCAGAUUUUUGGUACCUUUUUUUGGAGUAGGGGGUUAGGUUUUAAGAGGGAAGGUAUGCUUUCCACUUAUCACUUCACAGAGUUGAACCUUGCUUCCCAAUCACCAUGUACCUAUAAAAGUGAAAAUAUAGUAAAAAGUUCAUUUCUUCACUUAAAUUCAGUUCUGAGCAUCUGCAGGUGAUAUCCGGCAACCUAUUAGUGUCUGACCCAGUUAUCUUUAUGGAUUGUGGGCAGAACCUUACAUUUCUACAGGUUUACGCACUUUCCUGGGGGAAGGGGCUCCUGUUUCUAGGAAAAAAAUAAAGGGCACAUCACCACAGGUUGUUAAAACAGAUAAGUUUAUUUUGUUUAAGGAAAAGAUGCAUUUUAGGUACCCAGGGUAUGAAUGCAUUCAACAUCUAUUUUUUAUCUAUGAAGACGGUGACCUCCUCUUGUUGCAGGCAGUUUGGGCUUUUCCAACUCAUGGCUAACAUGGGUGGUAUAUGUCUUAGUUUUUAUAGGAUAAUGAGAAUUACAGGUACUGAAAAUUGGGGAGAUUUAUGCUUGGAAAAUGAACAAAAAAACCAUCUUGCUGGCUAAGAUAGCAAGAACAUUGGAUAUAUCAGGAAUACUUUUAAAUAGUUUUUGCUAUAAUGUGUAGCUUUAAAAUUUGUCUUCAGUUAUGGACCCAUAAAAGUAUUAGCGUAUCUUGUGAAUAAAGAUCAUUCUUGUGGGCUAGUAUAUGGAUGCAUUCAUAGGCUGUGGGAAGCAGUGGUGUGUGUGUGUAUGUGUGUGUGUGUGUAUGUGUAUAAAUAUUGUUUAUAACACUGUGUAUUACAUAAGUUUAUAUAGAAAAUAAUGUGUUUCUUUAGUGUUUUGGGGACUAAAAUUGUAAUAUAACCAUUCCAGUGUAAUCUGACCACUCACUCUAGAGAACAUUUAUAUUACACACAAAUGCACACUCCUAAAACAUUGCUAACUGCUCCCACUUUAGAUAAUUGCUGCUUUUUUUAAACCCGAAGUAAUGGAGGAGGAAAUAGCACUCUUUUUAAAGGGGCUUUUCUGAAAAGUAAAAUGUAAAUAUAGGACCUGUGGGAAGGGUGAGGCCACCUGCAAGUGUCCUACAGAUGGACAAAUAGCCUUUUAAAUUUUACUUUUUAACCAUCUUAACCGUGUGUGCCUAUUUGUAUUGCAGAUGUGAACUAUUUUGGGGGGUUGAUAUCAGUCCGUUUUGAAAAUGAAUUAUUACAUAAAAUCAGAGUAACCUCUUUCUCCAUCCUCCUUUUCCACACUGACUAUUCUUGCCAAAUAUUUCUACCGAUACCAAGUUUCAGCAUAAUAAAAUGAUGGACUCUCAGAUCUCCUUCCUCAUCUUCCCUAUCCUGUCUUACACCUGGCCUGGCCUUAUGUUUUUUGUUGGCUUUUCGUAAGUAAAAACAAUUUACUAUAGUAAUUUAAAGACUGCAGAAUUUCAAAAUGUUUGUCUAUAAGCCUGACUUUGUUAAUGUUUCGUUAAACAGUAACAUCAGUUAAAAUAUUGGAGUGAGUCUGAGUUUGUAAUGUGUUAUAAAAUCUUGAACGAUACUAAACUUGACUGCCACAUUUUAUUAAGAGGAAAUUGGAUUAUAUGGUGGGUGGGAGCUAGUCUAUGGUAUAUAUGUAAUCACUGUAUAAUUAGAAACACCAAGUGCUGAAUCCUAUUCACUGUGUACUUGAGGGCCAGUCUUUGGAUAUGGUUGUCAUUUUAAUUCCUUGAAGACCAUAUGUAAUUAAGGUGAGCAGAAGGCAAAUAAAAUUUUUAAACAAAAAUGCUUUUUGGGGUAAUUAUACCCCUCCAAAAAAAAUUUACUAUAAAAAACUUAGAGUUGAGAUUGAGAAGCUUGAAGAAGCCGCUUUUUAAGCAGUUCAGUCACUUACAAUAUUUUAUGUUAAAGAAAUUGUCAUAAUUCUUUCUGAGCCAAACUGUCACUAAAAUGUCCUGUGACAGAACCACUCCUCUUUUUUCUGCCAUUCUGUGUACUGGAAGGGUUCUAUGUUGUAUUUGUUUUUAAUCUUUGAUUUAAAAAAAAUGGUUUUAGUGUUGCUUAGCUUCAGGUUGAAGUGUAACUUUCACUAAUAACUGCAAUAAAAAGAAAAGCUU